AUUGAACGCUGGCGGCAUGCCUUACACAUGCAAGUCGAACGGUAACAGGUCUUCGGAUGCUGACGAGUGGCGAACGGGUGAGUAAUACAUCGGAACGUGCCUAGUAGUGGGGGAUAACUACUCGAAAGAGUGGCUAAUACCGCAUGAGAUCUACGGAUGAAAGCAGGGGAUCGCAAGACCUUGUGCUACUAGAGCGGCCGAUGGCAGAUUAGGUAGUUGGUGGGAUAAAAGCUUACCAAGCCGACGAUCUGUAGCUGGUCUGAGAGGACGAUCAGCCACACUGGGACUGAGACACGGCCCAGACUCCUACGGGAGGCAGCAGGGGGGAAUUUUGGACAAUGGGCAAAAGCCUGAUCCAGCAAUGCAGCGUGCAGGAUGAAGGCCUUCGGGUUGUAAACUGCUUUUGUACGGAACGAAAAGCCCCGGGUUAAUACCCUGGGGUCAUGACGGUACCGUAAGAAUAAGCACCGGCUAACUACGUGCCAGCAGCCGCGGUAA
rnacentral:rRNA from 1 species